rnacentral:lncRNA from 1 species
UAUCACUUUAGAGAUAACUCUAAGCACACUCUUAUGAUAGCAGUGGAUAGGGAGAUUAGGAAAUCGCACCUAAGCCACAACAUUUGUAACAUCUAGAUUUAAAGUAGAGAAACUAGGGGACCAAGAUUGCACCAUGAUGUAGUGGCCAUAUAUAACCCAACGGCCAUCCAUAAUAACAUGCAAAUAGUCCUCUGUCAAUUGGAAUUUGACCAUAUAGUAAUCGUUAUCAAGAUCAAUUACGUAUAGCCAAUCAUUUGGCUUCCACAAGCUAUAAAGUUUCACCUAGAGUACUUUGUAUCCAAUUGGCUUUCCUAG